rnacentral:tRNA from 1 species
GAGGGUAUAGCUCAAGUGGUAGAGUGAAUGCUUAGCAUGCACAGGGUCCUGGGUUCAAUCCCCAGUGCCUCCU